AUUGAACGCUGGCGGCAUGCCUUACACAUGCAAGUCGAACGGCAGCACAGGUGCUUGCACCUGGUGGCGAGUGGCGAACGGGUGAGUAAUACAUCGGAACAUGUCCUGUAGUGGGGGAUAGCCCGGCGAAAGCCGGAUUAAUACCGCAUACGAUCUACGGAUGAAAGCGGGGGACCUUCGGGCCUCGCGCUAUAGGGUUGGCCGAUGGCUGAUUAGCUAGUUGGUGGGGUAAAGGCCUACCAAGGCGACGAUCAGUAGCUGGUCUGAGAGGACGACCAGCCACACUGGGACUGAGACACGGCCCAGACUCCUACGGGAGGCAGCAGUGGGGAAUUUUGGACAAUGGGCGAAAGCCUGAUCCAGCAAUGCCGCGUGUGUGAAGAAGGCCUUCAGGUUGUAAAGCACUUUUGUCCGGAAAGAAAUCCUUGGCCCUAAUACGGUCGGGGGAUGACGGUACCGGAAGAAUAAGCACCGGCUAACUACGUG
rnacentral:rRNA from 1 species